rnacentral:tRNA from 1 species
UUUAGGAUCCUAUUAAGUAGAAUUGAUCUAUAGAUAACUAAGUAAAAGGAUCUAAUUACUUUGUGAUUUUA